rnacentral:tRNA from 1 species
ACGCGAGUGGCGGAAUUGGCAGACGCGCAGGAUUUAGGAUCCUGUACCGAAAGGUGCGGGUUCGACCCCGCCUCGCGUA